AUUGAACGCUGGCGGCGUGCCUUACACAUGCAAGUCGAACGGCAGCGGGGGAGAAGCUUGCUUUUCCUGCCGGCGAGUGGCGAACGGGUGAGUAAUACAUCGGAACGUGCCCUGUAGUGGGGGAUAACUAGUCGAAAGAUUAGCUAAUACCGCAUACGACCUGAGGGUGAAAGUGGGGGACCGCAAGGCCUCAUGCUAUAGGAGCGGCCGACGUCUGAUUAGCUAGUUGGUGGGGUAAAGGCCUACCAAGGCGACGAUCAGUAGCUGGUCUGAGAGGACGAUCAGCCACCCUGGGACUGAGACACGGGCCAGACUCCUACGGGAGGCAGCAGUGGGGAAUUUUGGACAAUGGGCGAAAGCCUGAUCCAGCAAUGCCGCGUGUGUGAAGAAGGCCUUCGGGUUGUAAAGCACUUUUGUCCGGAAAGAAAUGGCUCUGGUUAAUACCUGGGGUCGAUGACGGUACCGGAAGAAUAAGGACCGGCUAACUACGUGCCAGCCGCCGCAGUAA
rnacentral:rRNA from 1 species